AUGCUCGCUUCGGCAGCACAUAUACUAAAAUGGAAUGAUACAGAGAAGAUUAGCAUGGCCCCUGCACAAGGAUGACAUGCAAAUUCAUGAAGCAUUCCAUAUUUUU